rnacentral:rRNA from 1 species
GACGAGCGCUGGCGGCGUGCCUAAUACAUGCAAGUCGAGCGGAACUGGGGGAGCUUGCUCCUUCCAGUUUAGCGGCGGACGGGUGAGUAACACGUGGGCAACCUGCCCUGCAGAUCGGGAUAACUCCGGGAAACCGGUGCUAAUACCGAAUAGUUUGGCGCCUCUCCUGAGGCGCUACGGAAAGACGGUUUCGGCUGUCACGGCAGGAUGGGCCCGCGGCGCAUUAGCUAGUUGGUGGGGUAACGGCCCACCAAGGCGACGAUGCGUAGCCGACCUGAGAGGGUGACCGGCCACACUGGACUGAGACACGGCCCAGACUCCUACGGGAGGCAGCAGUAGGGAAUCUUCCGCAAUGGACGCAAGUCUGACGGAGCAACGCCGCGUGAGUGACGAAGGUUUUCGGAUCGUAAAACUCUGUUGUGAGGGAAGAACACGUACCAACUAACUAUUGGUACCUUGACGGUACCUCACCAGAAAGCCACGGCUAACUACGUGCCAGCCGCCGCAGUAA